rnacentral:lncRNA from 9 species
GCACUCCAGUUGACUUUGCGGAGAUAUGGAAGGCGGCUUUGGCUCGGAUUUCGGGAGCUCCGGCAGCGGGAAGCUGGACCCGGGGCUUAUCAUGGAGCAGGUGAAAGUGCAGAUCGCCGUGGCCAACGCGCAGGAGCUGCUGCAGAGGAUGACGGACAAGUGCUUCCGGAAGUGCAUCGGGAAGCCGGGGGGCUCCUUGGACAAUUCGGAGCAGAAGUGCAUCGCCAUGUGCAUGGACCGCUACAUGGACGCCUGGAACACCGUGUCCCGUGCCUACAACUCUCGGCUGCAGCGAGAACGAGCCAACAUGUGAUCGCGACGCGCCAGCAGCCCACUUCCCACCCCACCCCACUCCCAGUUCCAUCUCCAUAAAUGCUGUUUGUGAGGCGGGGGCCAACGUGUGCGUGCUGCCUGCCAGAAGUUUAUGAGGACCAGACUGGUGCUGGGACAGUUGGUAUUCUGUUUCUCCGUGCCCCGUUCGCGCACACGUGCCGGCGAGUGUAACUUGCGUCUGGGGGGCCCCUGGCCCGGGUGGUGCCUUCCCUAGUGCCCCUGUUACCGAAUUGUGUCAUAUGGACCCUGUUGGGGGCCGGCUUAGGCUCUAUGUCUCCUAGGGGGUGUUCUUUUUCUGUUCCGUGGAGCCUGAAGCUGAGAUGGACACAGCACAAGCUUUAUUCAGCAGUUAAAGUAUGGAGACGCGUGAACAAACGAACUCACAGAUCAGCUUCUUAGCUGGCGAGAGGGGCUUAAUUUUAACAAGGAGGCCUGUGUGUAUGUCUACGCGGGAAGGGGCUGAGCUUUUUCCGAGGGAGUGGGGUGCCACCUCUUUUUUAUCUUUUUUGGUCUUUAAUGUCUGGUCGAGGCUGCGGAUGCGUGUGUUAUUUAAUAAGCUAAUGUAGUAAAAUCCACACAUAAUGAGACAGCGUUUGUUGGAAGUCAGAUUUGCCACCAUUUUCCUCCCAGCAGGGUUUCGUGGUUUUGUUUUUGUGUGUAUGUGUCUUCGUGUUCUAUGCAUUAGGAUUAACUGAAAGUUAAUCUUUAAAGAUUUCUGUUCACUCCUACUAAAAGGUGGGGUGGUGGUUGGCAGGUUUUGAGCAGGGACCUCCUUCCUGCAAAAGGUCAGGGUGGAUAGGUUGUGAGGAAAGGGCUGGAGCAGCUCUGGUGACAAACUACUCCCUUCCUUAUUAUUGCUCAUUCCUUUUUUUUUUUUCUUCUUCUUUUUUUUUUUUUUUUUUAAUGGCUGCAGGUGAGGCCUAUGGAAGUUCCUGGGCCAGGGAUUGAAUUCAAACCAAAGGACUUCCCUUGUGGCUCACAACAUAACUACAUGGUGUUGUUUCUACAGUGGCUGUGGUUCUGUCCCUGGCUCGGCAAUUUCCAUAUGCUGCAGGAGUGGCCAGUUGUUAUAAAAAAAACAAAAAGAAGAAGAAGAAGAAUGAAUCUGAGCCAAAGCUAUGACUUACGUUACACCUGUGGCAAUUCAGGAUCCUUUAACCUGCUGUGCCAGGCCAGAAACUGGAGCCGCUGCAGCCAGAUUCUUAAUCUACUGUGCCACAGUGAAAACUCCCUGCCCUCAUUCUUUUUUUUUUUAAUUUUUAAAUUUUAUUUAUUUAUUUAUUUAUUUAUUUUUGUCUUUUUGCUAUUUCGUGGGCCGCUCUCGCGGCAUAUGGAGGUUCCCAGGCUAGAGGUCGAAUCGGAGCUAUAGCUGCCAGCCUACGCUGGAGCCACAGCAACGCAGGAUCCGAGCCGAGUCUGCGACCUACACCACAGCUCACGGCAAUGCCGGAUCCUUUAACCCACUGAGCAAGGGCAGGGAUCGAACCCGCAACCUCAUGGUUCCUAGUCGGAUUCGUUAACCACUGCGCCACGACGGGAACUCCUUUGCCCCUCAUUCUUGAGGGUGAAAGUGUGUCUUCUGAGGCUGCUUCCUGUUGAACUUGGGGAAUAGUUUUUUUCUGUAGCAGAGCUGUUCCUGACUUGCCUAAAAUAUAUCUGAUUGUCACCAGGCAGCAGUCCCAGUGCUUAUACCCCCCUGUAUGAGUAUCAGCUGAAGCUUGAGGACUCUGAACCAUUUACUAAAAAAGCUGACAAGGCUGUUCGAGAGGCCAGGCCUGAAGAUGAUCAGGAGAUUAAUAACAGUUAGUGCAUCAAGAUGAGGAAGAUACCAGGUUUUAUUGGGAAGGCCCUGUUUGACUAUAUUCCAGAUGGAGCUUGGGUUAGGACCUUGUGUGUUAUAUCUUUGUAACCUCUGAGCUUGCUCUUGUAUCUCUUUUAUGUUUAUCUCAGUCUGAUGAGAGUGUGGGGCAAGUUUUAUUGGUAACUGCAGAGACUCCCCCCUUGCUCAGCCAGGAGAUAGUCAAGGACAGUAUUUGCUCCUGAGUCCAGAGAAGUAGGGGAUCCUUGGAAGGCAUCCCUCAUGUUUUUAGACAAGUUCUCAAGGGCCCAUGUGAGAUUUUGUGCCGUGAUUUCGUAGUACGUAAAACCUCCCAGGGGGCUGCCAGGCCCAGAGCAAUCCCUACUCCUUCCAGGAUGAGUUUUAUUGCCUUUUUGUCUCAGGCCUGGGUGAUGUUAUGAAUGGUUAUACCUAGGUUCCUAAAACUUAGCUAGUGUAGCAUGCAUUUUGCACAAACUGGGCAUCAUCUAAGCAAGGGUAGGCUAGGUUUGUUCUGAUAGGGCAAGUGGUUUAUCCCUGGGCUCCAAAGGAACAGGUAGGUACCCAGAGGGAGCCCAUGCCUGGUGCACUUAUGAGGAGUUGAACCACCUUCAUAAGAGGCUGGCCCAAGAGGCGGUGGCCUUGCAGUGUGGGAAGAGAAGCCCACCUGCAUAUUGGGGGUCACUGGGGGAAUUCUUGACUGGUGACUUUUCCCCAGAAAUUUGGGAGAGCCAUAGACUAAACAUCAGACAUCGUCUCUUCCCAGCAGGUGCAUCUCCCAUCUGGUCCCUGUGUAUAUUCACGGAGUCAGAGUAGAGGGCACCAAUGGGUGAGAUUUCCACACGAGUCAAUCCCAGGGCGCUUAAAUUGUGAGGUAAUGGGAGAAACAUUGAUUGGAGUUCACAGCAGCUCCAGGGUGUUACUGUCGAUUCUUCCCUUUGGGGGGGUGGCCGUUCAUGGGGCGGUGGAAGUGGGAGAUCAGUUAGAGUGGUGGCACUUGAGAGUGAGUGCUUUGUGUUUGUUAGCGAUGCUAACAUGAGGGGUGAGGGCCAAGCAGGCAACUAUGUUGCGGUGGGACGUGGACUUCAAGAGGGCUAAAUUUGGCAGAGCUGUGAGCCAAGGUGAGAGUGAGGUCGUCAUUCUCAGGGGUAAGAUGUAACACCUUUCAUCCAUAGGCGUCACUGUGGAUGUGGGUGACGGACCAGCCCUGGGAUAGAUUUUGCCCAUGGGCAAGAAAUUUGCGAUUCCAUUAAGUUCCCAUUCUGCAUGGAUAGUUGUCUGAAAUAGAGCAGAGAAUAUAAGGAAGAGUUGUCCAUAAUGGCUCUUCAUCCUGUUUCCUGUGUUAACAUCCAGCAUGGACAGUCAAGAUGUUUGCCAGAGAAGGGCAUUUGGCAGAACACCAGAAGUCAAGUAAGGCAAUAGUAAUGGCAAGGCCAAAUACUCAGCCUGUCCACCGCAUUACUUAGUUGGUGGUAAGUUUGUCCUUUUGAAGAGGAACUUAAGGUCUGUGACACGUUCACAAGGGUAACGAGUGGGUGGCCCAGUCACUUCUUCCUCAGACAUAGUGAUGUUUUCCCUCUGGUAGGAUGGGUCCUGUAAUUUGAGGGCAGAAUGAGUUGACUAGAUAAGGUCCUCUCCACUUGGGGUCUCACUAACUGGUCUUGUGGGUUUCCAGCCUUCCAAGUUUUCAAAUAAACCCAGUCCCCGGGGAGAAAGGAUGUAUGGCCAUGCCAGGAGGGAAGGUGGCUCGAUUGUCUUGCGGUGGAAAGCUGGGAUUAUUUCCCUCUCUGUAAGGCAUGUUUCUGUCGAGCUGUGUCCCUAAGGUUGAUCUUGGAGCUGGUCCUUCAGGAACGUGCCUCUCGUGUACGGGCUCGUAUGGACUCAGACUGAGCUUUCCUCGAGGGGUGAGUCCCAUUCUCGCAAGUGCAGUGGGGAGAAGGGGGAUCCAGGGUUGAUGAGUGUCUUGACAGAGUUUGGCUCAGUUUCUCUGGAGGGUUUGACUUAUUCUACUUUUCUUGAGGACUGUGGUUUCCGAAUGGGACGUAAACCCCAUUUAAUUCUUAGAGCUCUAGGGACUCCCUCGGUAGUCUGAAACAGAGGGAGGCCAUUGUCGCUCUGGAUGGACUUAGCCCAAACCCAGGAUUUGUCCCUUGAGCAGCGCCAUCGAGACAGACCUCCAGGGCAGUGUUGGUUCGAUGGGGAUGACCUCCAUCCAGCCUGAGAACAUGUCGGUCAAAACCCUGCAGAUAGCUAAGAUUUCCUUGUGGCCAGGAUAUUACUGUAAAAUCAGUUUGCCAGGCAGUUCCCUGGUGGUGCAGUGGGUUGAGGAUCUGGUGCUAUCUCUGCUGUGGUGGAGGUUUGAUCCCUGGUCUUGAAACUUCUACAUGCCCACCCCCCCCAAAUCAGUGUAUCUGUCUUGACCUGGGUAUGUGGCUCUAUGCUGGGUGUUGGUCAUUCCCUUGACCUUUCUGGGGGUGGGGGGUGCAUGUGGUGAGUGGUGGGCUUAUUCCAGAGGCGGACAGGCAAGCUUUAACCACCUGUUGAAGGAGGCAUGAGAAACGGGGCCGUCAUGGACGUGAUGAGCAAUCAGUAUGGGGGCCCCCUGCCUGUGAUUGUGCUCUGGCGGGCGUCCCGGCUGGCGCAGUGCAGUGGCCAAUGGGAGGGGCAGCUGCCCAUGGUCAUAACCACCCACCCUGGGAAUCCUGGGCUUUUAAAAUAGCCCCAUCUGGGGAGUUCCCGUGGUGGUGCAAUGGAAAUGAAUCCAACGAAUAUCCAUGAAGAUGCAGGUUCGAUCUGUGGCCUUGCUUAGUGGGGUAAGGAAGGAUCUGGCGUUGCCAUGAGCUGCGGGGUAGGUCAUAGGGCUCAGGUCCCGUUUGGCUGUGGCAUAGGCCGGCGGCCACAGCUCUGAUUCGACCCCUAUGCUGGGAACUUCCAUGUGGCCCGGACAUGGCCCUAAAAAGCCAAAAAAAAAAAGCUCCACCUCAAAGCCCUUCCCCUUUUUUCUGGGGUGUAGGUGGGAGUGUAGGACUUCAGUUCUGGGGGAACUGGUAGGAAGAGAGAAGGAUCUUAGAGAAGCCUGACUUGGACUUGGAGGGUUUGACCCGUGUGCCCCCUUUCUUUAUGAGAAGCUGGAGCUAGUGGGGGUCAGGGACUGUCCAGAGGUUAAUUUGUCAGCCUCAUUGAGGACCCCCUCCCUUAAGCAUGGGGUCCUCCUUUCGUGCUUUGGACCAGUUUUAGAAAAAUAGGCUGCAGCCUGAGUCAGAGGUCCCCGAUUGUGUAAACGCUCAGGGCAGCUCCUCCUUUCUCAUGCAUGUAUGUGUGGACGGGAUGGCUCAGGUCAGAGGAGCUAACUUGGGGGUCUCAUGAGAUGGUUUUUCAGUUCCAGAAAUGCCUGGUCACAACUGGGGGUCCCCUGGAAGGGGUCAAGUUCCUCCCCUUUUCAGUGUUCUCACAAGGGCUUAGCGAUUAAGCCACAGUUAGGGAUCCCUGUGCAGCAGGACCCGACCAUCCUGGGAACCCCAGAGCUGCUUCCUUGUACUAGAGGCGCCAUCUGGCAACUCUUUCCUCUCCCUGUACAGGGCCCUUUGCCCCUUUUCUGUAAUGAACCCUAAGUGUUCUACCUGCCAGAGGGAGGUGUGCGCUUUCUCCUCUGCAGCUGUAUCCUCCCUCAGCCGGUGAUUUAAGACCUUAACUGCAUCGUGGUGAGGAAGCUCUUUGGUGGGGCUGGUGGUGAAAUGUCAUCCACUGUUGAAUAGCUCCCUGUUCUAACUUGAGGUGACCAACGUCCUUGGCUCAGCAGUAACAAACCCGACGAGUAUCUGGAUGUGGGUUCACUCCCUGGCCUCGCUCAGUGGGUUGAGGAUCCAGUGUUGCCGUGAGCUGUGGUAUAGUUCGAGGAUGCAGCUCGGAUCUGGCGUUGCUGUGGCUGUGGUGUAGCCUGGCAGCUAUAGCUCGGAUUAGACCCCUAGCCUGGGAACCUCCAUGUGCUUGCUGUGGGUGCGGCCCUAAAAAAUAUAAAAAAAAAAACCAUAGGGAGGUUUUAAAUCCUUGGAGAUACAGAAACAUUCAGCACAAUUGUUAUUUUCCCAUGCUGUCAGGGUUUCUGCCACCCAAGCGCAAAAAUGUAUUGAGAUUCUGGAGCUAGGGGCACACGCAAGAGGGCCUCUAACCCGGAGUACCAGGUCCUCUCAGGGCGUAGGUAGAGCGGUGAUGUGUUGGGCACCACAGUGUGAAUCUCCUCUGUAGCUUCAUUUACAGCCCAGAGGUCCUGAGCUUCCCAUUUGGCUCCUUUACCAGCAGAAGAGGAGUGUUGCAAGGGGGCCAGCGGGGUCUAAGGAGCUCUUGCUUGAGGAGGCUUUGUGUUGCUAAGGCUUCUUUGCUUAAGAGGUAUUGUGUUUUUAUUUGGGUGAUUGUGACUGGGUCACAGCCUGACUACGAGGGGCGGUGCCCUUCUGACUCUGCCCAUGGUGUCCCGGGUCCCUACUGGGGACCCUCAGGGUCAAUCAGGCUGUUAUUCUUGGCAGAGGGCAGUCGCACUUGGGCUGCAAAAUGGAAGGGAGCUUUGGGUGUUGCGAUGGUAAGGUGUUGGUCUCUGAGGUGAAUUGUAGCUCCCAGUUUGUAUAGUGCAUCUUUUCCUUUGAGGGGAGCUGAGCGGCGUUCUGGUACGUGUAAGAGUGAGACAGCAUUCUACCUUCUGCAUCCUACUCCAGGGGCUCUAUAAAGUUAUAUCCCUGCGGCCUCCCUUCUGCUCGCUUUAUCUUAGAGUUAUCCUUCAUCUUUUUGCUUUGUCGGUGUUCAAGGCUGAGUAGGUGGACACUGUGUCCACUAGAAAGUCAACCUUGGGGAGUUCCCGUCGUGGCGCAGUGGUUAACGAAUCCGACUAGGAAUCAUGAGGUUGCGGGUUCGGUCCCUGCCCUUGCUCAGUGGGUUAACGAACGAUCUGGCGUUGCCGUGAGCUGUGGUGUAGGUUGCAGACGCGGCUCGGAUCCCGCGUUGCUGUGGCUCUGGCGUAGGCCGGUGGCUACAGCUCCGAUUCAACCCCUAGCCUGGGAACCUCCAUAUGCCGCAGGAGCGGCCCAAGAAAUAGCAACAACAACAACAACAACAAAAAAAAAGACAAAAAAAAAAAAAAAGAAAGUCAACCUUUUUUUUGGAGUUCCUGUCACGGCACAGUGGAAAUGAAUCCAACUAGGAACCAUGAAGUUGUGGGUUCGAUCCCUGGCCUCCUCGCUCAGUGGGUUAAGAAUCCGGUGUUGCCAUGACCUGUGGUGUAGGGCGCAGAUGCAGCUCAGAUCUGGCGUGGCUGUGGCUGUGGUGUUGGCCAGCAGCUGUAGCUCCGAUUCGACCCCUAGCCUGGGAACCUCCAUAUGCUGUGGUGUGGCUCUAAGGAAAAAAAGAAAGUCAACCUUUUUUGGUUUUUCUCCUCCUUUUUUGGCUGCAUGGCCAUAGAGCAUACUCCAUAGAGUUCUCAGGCCAGAGAUCAGAUCUGUGCCACACUUGGGACCUAAGCCACAGCUGUGGCAGCAGUGUGCCUGGCUGGGGAUUGAACCUGCAUCCUGCCGCUGCAGAGACAUCACCGAUCCAAUUGCACCGCAGCAGGAACUCCAGAGAGUUAGCCUUUUUACCCCCCACAGUCAGGUUCAGCCGAGGCUCCUCCAGGUUCUCUGCUUCUUUCACGUGUAUGACCAGUGAGCAUGAGCCAGGACACUGUGUCCCUUAGCUCCCUUCCAGUACCAUUGGGGCACCCCUGUCCAGGGGCCCUCCUGCAGGCGGUAUGGAUGCUGAUUGGCUUGGAGCCCUUCUCUCCACUGUGGGCAUGGUCUUUGAAACCCAGCGCAGUUCGUCCAUGUCACUGGGUUGGGGGUGCAUCAUCACUGGAAGUUGGUUGAUCCUGAAUCCCUGAAGCCAGAACACUGACAGUUCUUUCUCUUCAUCUAUCCUCCCUGGCAUCCACCUCCAGAUCCCUAACAUCCAAAAUGCAGACCCCACCUCUGGCACGGCGGGCCCUCCCUCCAACUUCUGUCACUUUCUCCUGUUGUCUGGGUGCUCUGGGAAGUGAAAUGGAGCUUAAAGUGGCCCUCCCUUCCACUGCCCCCAGGUUCACAUUUGUGUACACGGGAAGGCCGAGGGGUUUUCCUCCCGCCCCUGGAUACCACCCUGAGCCCUAUUCCAGUUGAUAGGUUUCUUCCCAGCCAACUGAAUGCCCUUAGGAAUCAAAUCCUGUGGAGUUCCCUGGUGGCAUAGUGGGUUAAGAAUCUGGUGUUGUCAUUGCUGUGGCUCUGGUUACAGCUGUGGCAUGAGUUUGAUCCCUGGCCUGGGAACUUUCCCAUGCCAUGGGGAAGGCCAAAAAAAAAAAAAAAAAAAAAAA